GCCUAGAGGAGAAAGGGUCAAAAUAGAGAAGGAAAACUCUCAUUCAAGCAUGGAAUCCGACUCACAAAGCUCCAAUUUUCUACCUAUGCAGAGUAAUAAUCAUGCAACAAGUAAUGGUAUGAAAGGUGGAAGCUCAGUGAAUAAUGAUGGACAAUUCAGUGAUGAAGUUCUCACCAGAGAAAGACCAUUCAGCGAGGAACUUCAGACUGCUCUAGACAGAAGAAAUGAUAAGGAGUGUGAAACUCAAGAAGAUCUAGGCGUUGAAUCCGCCUGGGAGGUUAAAGAAGAGAGGAGUGGGUAUCAGGGGUUGUCCACAGAUCAUGAUCCUCUGCUGGAGUCUAUCUUCACCCUUCAAGCUGCUCAGGAAAAUCUUGAAAGAGAAAUUCGGAAAUGGAAAGAAAUUAGAAUAGAAGAUGAUGUCAUUGACCAUUCUGUUCGGGAUGUUGGUAUUAUUUCAGACUUCAGUUCAGGUGACACAGAUUUUCCUGGACCAAACACAUCUGAACAGUCACAACCCAGUAACGGUGUGCAACAUUCAUUUAACUCGUUGGAGUCUGAAGUAGUCAGCUUAAAGCAGAAUGUUAUACUAUUGCAACACAAGCUUAAUGAUGAAGCAAACUUGAUUAAGUUAAAGGAAGCCAGAGUUGCUGAACUGGAAGCCAUCUUAAGUAGUAACACGGAGAAGGAAGAAAAGAGAACAGGAAAUGACUUGCACCAGAGUAGUGGGGACAUUGAAAAAGAGCUUGAGGGCCUCUUUAGGCAGAAGAUUGAAGCUGAACUUGAGUAUUUAGUAAUAUCAAGAACCAUCCAAAAGUGGAGAGCUGCAGCAGUUGAUCAAGUUACUCUCAUGGAAGAACAAAAAAUAUUAGCUACCGAACAAGCACAGAUGGUAAAGAAGCUCGGAGAUUCAGAAACAAAGGUUGCAAUGCACAAGUUACAGGUUGAAAUCUUGGACAAUUACUGUGAUAAUGUAGCCAGCACUAAUAAAACACUGGAGCUGCGGAAGGGAGUCUGCAAGUAUAGUUCCUAUUUUUUGAUACAAUUUGUAUUGUUGGUUAUCGUCUUUGGACUGUAUAUGUUGCAGAUGUCAUCUGAUGCUGUUGAAGUUGUGCCAACAUAAUUUUGAGAUGUGAGCCUUUUUUCCCUUUCUCUUGUAUUUUCAACAUAGAGCAACGACCAAUGUUAAUUUAGUCGUUUUAUGUGUUCAUAGAUAGAUGGAACACCUACUUUCUUUUUUGUCAAGUCGAUAUUGAAUUCAAU
rnacentral:misc_RNA from 1 species